GCGCGUGUGAUAUACAGAUGGCCACAUGUAUAGAAGGGCCACUUAAUACUCCUUAUGCGGCAAAAAAGGUACAGUUACACAAUAACUAUACACAAUAAUUGAAUCCUUGAAGAUUCAAUUGAAGGUGAAGCUUGAAUUUGUCCAAAAUAAUGAGUUUUCUUGCAAUCUCUGUAAACCACACACUACAGACCACCACCUUAUUCAUUUUCUACAAUGGAUUAAGGAUAUAUAACCUAAACCUUAAAGAGAAAAUGUCAUUAUUAUUUAAAUCAAGAAAAACCUAAAAAGCCUAAAGAUUUCUGUAUGAAUAGCGAUAUUGAGAUAAAGAGCAAAUGAAGAGUUAAUGAAAAAGUGGUUUCUCCUUUUUUGAAGCAUCUUGGUUAAGAAAGAAUUGAACGAGAAAGGCAGGGUUAAAAUGGCUAACAAAUUAGUGACACUGCAUUGGCAUUAUGGGGGGUAUUUGGUUGAUAAUACAUAUGUGAAUGGGAAAGUGAAGGAAUUUGAUGAUAUGGACACUGACAGGCUAUCAAUUCCAGAAUUGAUGGGUUAUGUUAAAGAAGAUUUUGUUUAUAUAAUUGAGCAACCAGUUUAUUACAAGGCUGAAAAUAGUAACAGCUUUAUGCCUUGUAUGAGUGAUAAGUUUAUUGUUGAUCUGACAUUAAGGUUUAGUGAUGUGGAGGUAGUAAAUAUGUAUAUUGCACAAGUCGACCCCCUAUUUGAUAUUGACGGGCCUGUACCUAGGGCAAACUUAUAUGGGAAUAUAAAUAGAGAAGAAAGUGAGGCUGUUUUUAAGGGUGUAGAGGCACACUCGAGAAAGAAUGAAAAAAAGACUAGAUGUAGAAUGUGAAUUUCAGGGUGAGAAUGUAGAUCUGGUUGGAAUUGAGAAUGAAGAAGAUAAUGCAAGCUUUGAAGAAGACAUAAACACAGAGGGUGAAGCACUUGAGGAGGAUGAGAAUAAUGAAGCAAACAGAAAUGGAUACAGUGAUGCGAAUGAAGAAGUCAUAGCUGCAAGGGAAGAGCUAAUAUUUUAUAGGAGGAGGCCCAAAAUAAGUCAAAUUCAACCUAUAUAAACUAUUGAGAAAGGUGUGGCUGGUGUUGAUUUAAGUUAAAAUGACUUAAAUAGAAGUAGAAGAUGUUAUGAUGGAAUAAUAGGAGAUGAUGAGAAGUUUUUUUACAGUUCAAAUUAAAAUAGUGUUGAGAGUUGUAAUGAGGAUGAGGAUGAUGAAUUGCCUCAUAGAAUAGAAAGCAAGAAGCUAGCAGCAUCCAAGUUAUGAAAUACCAUUACGGGAAAUUGGAAUGGUAUUUGAGAGUGCAAAUCAGUUUAGAGAGGCUAUUGCUAAGUAUGUAGUUGUUAAAAGGGUGUAACUAAGGCUGAGGCCAAAUGAAUCAUAUAGAAUAAGGGUGAAAUGCAAGGAACAGGCUGCAAUUGGCUAUUAUUUGAGAGCAUUAAAGGAAACAAUGAUAAUUUUUUUAUGGUAAAGAUAUAUCAUUCCGAUUUAUAAAUGCUAUAUGAAAAACAACAACAAAUUGUAUACAUCUAAGUUUGUAGCUAAUUAUUUCAAAGAUAAAAUUAUUUAUCAAUCUAGUAUAAAGUUAUGAGAAAUCCAAGCUCUUUGUAGAGAGCAGUUAAAGGUGUUUGUUGGAAAGAACUAUUUGUAGGAAGACAAAAUUAAAGGUGAUGAAUCAAUUUAUGGGAGACUAUAGAAUGGAAUACCGUAAAUUACAGUGGUAUGCCAAUGAAAUUAAUGAGUCUAAUCCUAGGAGUACAUGCUUUGUGUGCACUGAUUCAACUAGUGAGCCAGGAAAGGUGUUGUUUGACAAGUUUUAUAUUUGCUUAGCAAUUAUGAAAUAUGGGUUGCUUCAAGGUUAUAGAAAAGUCAUUGGCUUAGAUGGAUGCUUUCUUAAAGGCAUCUAUCUGUCAAGGAUAAGAUCCUUUAUGCUGUGGCAGAGAUGCAAAUGACUAAAUGUACCCUCUCACAUGAGCAAUUGUGAAGGUGGAAUGCAAGGUCAUAUAGACAUGGUAUUGAAGAAAGAUCUACAACUUGGUGAAGAGGAAGGGAUAAUGCUUAUGACUAUUAUGUAGAAGGGUUUGAUUCCUGCCAUUCAACAAAAGCUACCGCUUGUGGAGCAUUGAAUGUGUUCUAGGGGCAUAUGUAGCAAUUGGGCAAAAAAUUGGAGAGGUAAGGAAAGAAGGAAAAAAUUUUAGGCAUGUGCAAAGGUAAGUUUUGAAAGACAAUUUAAAGAUAAUUUGAAUGAAUUAAGCAAGUAGGAAAGGGGCAUUGUUAAGGAUGCUUUGUGUUAUAAUAAAAAAAAUUAGGUUAGAGUGUAUUUUGAGUUUGAAACUAAAAGUGAUGCAGUUGAAAAUAACAUGUGUGAGACUUGAAAUGCAUGGAUAUUGCAAGCUAGGUAUAAGUCAAUCAUUACUAUGCUAAAAGAGAUUAGGACUAAAAUAAUAACAAGAGUGAUAGUAAUGGGAGGUUUUGUAAAUACUUGGAUAUGUAACAUUACUCCAAUAACAAUGGUUACUUUAGAAAAAAAAUAAGGAAGAAGCAAUGAAAUACCAAAUUCUACAAAUGGUGAUGUUGGAUAUGAGGUGAAAUAUGGGGAUUAUGGUCAUACGGUGGACUUAAGGAAGUAAACUUGUACUUGUCUAUUUUGGCAGUUGAAAAAGAUAUCUUGCCCACAUGCUAUUCGUUCUAUGAAUCAUAGGAAGUUGAAUCUUGAAAACUUUGUAAGUGGUACCAUAAAGAAACAAAUUUAAAAAUCUUUCCUAUUUCAUUCAGUAUGUUCCUGGAAUUAUAUUGUGGAAGAAAAAUGAAUACCCUAUCAUUGAGCCUGAAGAGUAUGACGGGUAGGCCUAAAAGAAAUCGAAGAAAAUUACGAGAUGAAUCUAAAAUAGUUGGAAAGUUUUUAAGAAGAUGAGCAAAGAUGACUUGCACAAUAUAUAAACAACAAGGUCAUAACAAAAAGGGGUGUCCUUCCAAGAUUUCUACUCAAGUAAUGCUUUUUAUAUUGAGUUUUUUAAUUCUUUAUAAAAUGUUAAAUAUUUAAACGAUUAGUGAUUUCAAUCGUAAUUAUUUUUAAGGAAUCUAUGGUAACUACUGGAGUCACAAGUAUAGGCCUUGCAACUACUAAAACAUCAAGCCAGGUAAUGGAUUUAGUGCUAGUUACUUAGUUAUGUUAUACAUUUCUAAGACUGUAUUAUUUGUUCUAAUAGAAUAUGGACAGAUUUUGUGAAAGUUAUAUUUAAAAGGGUAGAGAUUGUGACAAUUCUGUGGCAAGAGGUAGAGGUGGUCCAAUUCUAUUGCAAUUAGUAGAGGCAGUACCAAUUCUGUUGCAAGAGGUAGAACUUCUAUUAAGAGGGGUAGAGGAGUUACAAACUUGGGUGGAAGUGAAGUAAUCUAUGCAAGCACCUAAGGUAGCAAAAGAAUUAAUACCCAACAGUAUCUUACUUCUCAGAAAAAAAAGUAAAAUUUAGUGGUUAUGGUGUUUACGUUAAUGGACACACAUGAGUUACUAUUGAAGAUGUAAGUUAUGUUAUUUACAAUGCAGGUUGCUAGUUUUUCAAGAUUUUGGAUGAUGUUAACUAGAAACUGUAACUAUCAUUUUGCUAUAAAUGGAAAUGGGAUAAUUAUCUUA